GAAGAUGGAGGUUGUGGUAGUGAGUGAGAUAUAGCUAGGGCUAAUAAAUGAGAGUGGUUCGACGUCGCUUUAGACAUUAAAAUAGUUAACUAAUCAAUAAAUAUCAAGAAGAACAUCUGGUUAUGUAAAAGAUCUACCCAACACUAGGCUCUUCUGUAUUUAUUUUUCAUUUUUCCAGGCAGAGAAACUUAUUGCUCUCUGCUUCUAAAAGUCAGCGUUACUGUGUAUCUAGUGUCUACUAUACGCUGAAGAACUUGAGAUAUUUCUCUGCAGUUUAACAAAUGUUGGACCAUUUUAAGAGCAUCUCCAAAAAGAAACUCUAUUUUGAAGUUUCCAAAACUCUAUAUUUGAAGUUUAAAAGUGUUCUUCUCUAAAAGCAAAACUUCAAACUCAACUUCAAAACUAUUUGUAUUUUAUAAAAUGGUCCUUAUAUUUGUCAUAACUAAUUUCAAUUCACAAAACUUUUGUAAAUAACUAGCACAUAUAUAAACAUAUUACAACAAUAUUAAGGGGGAAUUUUACUUAUACACUUUUUAUGAUACCACUUUUCAACUUUACCAUCAAUCGAAAGGCAUUUUCAAAAAUACCACAUUCAUUAAUGUGUAAAAGACAAUAUUGCCCUUAACUUAUCUUCAACUCAUUUCUCUCUCUCUCGUGAAUCUCCGUUCGUCGUCUAUCGUCUCUGUUCAGAUCCGCUGUUUUCCGUUCAGAUCCGCCGUCUCCGUUCAGAUUCGCCGUCUCUGUCCUCCAGAUCCGCCGUCUCUGUCCUGAACCGACGUCUUCGUCCAGAUUCGUCGUCUUCGUCCAGAUCCACGAAGCAAUCGAGAUCGAGACUCAAAACUUCAAAUGUUGAAUCCUCAGCAAGAAUCACAACCUAUUGCAGAGUCUGUUUCUUUUAGCAGCGAUAAAAAGUAUGAUAUAACGCAAGUGAAGGCUCCACCUCAGCUGCAGAAAAAGAUGUGUUAAGUAACUCAAUCAACUAAAAGACAAUUUAGAAAGGCUUAUAAGACAGUUUAUAAAGUUUGUUAAAUAAUUUAUAAGGUUUAUAAAUUCUGCACAA